rnacentral:rRNA from 1 species
UUCGCAAUGCCCGAAAGGGUGACGAAGCGACGCCGCGUGCGGGAAGAAGGCCUUCGGGUUGUAAACCGCUGUCGGGAGUUAAGAAAUGUAAGGAUGUUAAUAGCAUCUUUGCUUGACUAAGGCUCCGGAGGAAGCCACGGCUAACUCUGUGCCAGCAGCCGCGGUAAUACAGAGGCGGCAAGCGUUGUUCGGAAUUAUUGGGCGUAAAGAGCACGUAGGCGGCUAUGUAAGUCGGUUGUGAAAGCCUUCCGCUCAACGGAAGAACAGCAUCCGAUACUACAUGGCUUGAGUGCGGGAGGGGAGAGUGGAACUUCUGGUGGAGCGGUGAAAUGCGUAGAUAUCAGAAGGAACGCCGGCGGCGAAAGCGGCUCUCUGGCCCAUAACUGACGCUGAGUGUGCGAAAGCUAGGGGAGCAAACGGGAUUAGAUACCCCGGUAGUCCUAGCCGUAAACGAUGGGCACUAAGUAGAGGGGUUUU